AUGAGACCUUUGGUUUAUUUCUAUGUUAUCCUGGUUUUGUUUGUUUGUGCGGUUUUUCAUCUGAUGCAGGAGUUUUUAUAUGAUACCUUGGGUUUAUCUGAUGCAUUUUCUGCUUGUGAUUUAUUUUCACUUGAUGCUUGGUAUACUCUUAGUUUAUUCUUUGCUUGUGGCUUUAAUCCAAAAGAUGAGAAUUCUAUGUUGACUUUAUUAUGUCAAAUAUUGGCUUCUUGUUUGGUCAAACCUUCCUUACCUUAA